AGCUCCAAGAAUACGGGGAGGAGGUGGCCCGGGUCGGCGUCGGCGCCGUCCGGCGCGGGCCACGGGCCCGCUUCCAAGUGCGUCUGCGCGCCGGCCACCCACGCUGGGUCCUUCAAGUGCCGCUUCCACCGCACCAACUCCCAGGGCCACGGCCACGGUCCAGGGAAGCUGCCCUUCUUCGCCCCUUCACCGGCCGCGGCCAACGCGGUGCCGCGGCACCCGGCCUCGCCGUUCUCGUCCUCCGGCACCAUCGCGACCCAGUGA
rnacentral:rRNA from 1 species